AUCCAAAUAACUUCAUUCAUCCAUAACCAAAAUGUCAAAUAUAUCUAAAUAAUUUAAUCAUCCGUUAUUCAACCAACCAAGUAAUGUAUCUAAGUAGCUAGAGUAGUCAUUUACAACCUUCAACAAAUGGCACUCUGAAGCAGUUUUCAGUCAAAGUCAAUCUAUCCAUCCAAACUUUCAUCCUGCAAAAACACGGGAUGAAAUCUAAAAAUCAAACGCGAUCAAUUCUAAAUAUUCAAUCAAUCCUAAUUACAAAAUAAAACUUUUCACACCACUCACACUCUAAAGAAUUUAAAAUUUGAAAAAAGAGCGAUAUCAAGCUCAUUACUAACAAAUACUUAGUUUUCUUGAUCUCGUCAAGCAACUCCAAAGGCAACAAACAAUCAAAUAUGCGAGACAAAAGACUACCUUCUAAAACUUUCCCUCCAGUAAGUGUGCCAUCCAAACCAUACCCAUCAUAGCCUAUAAAACAGGUGCCCCAAACAAAUAUGAAAGAUAUAAUUUUCCUACCGGCAACAUUAAAUUGAUUUUUUAUAGAUAACACUAAUAUGUAAUGCGUAACUUAAUACUGUUAUAAAUACAUUAAAACAACACCACAUACAUAACAGAGUUUUGUAAAAUCGUUAUGUAUCAUUAAAAGUGCAUUCAUAUAUAACGAUUUUUUAGCAAAAUCGUUAUGUAUGAACCGUUAUCCCUAUUUUUUUUUAGUAGUGCUAGUCGAUUUCGAGUAAUUUUCGAGUCGAUCUCGAGUAACUUGUGAGCUAGCUCAAUUCACUUACACCUCCUAAUUUACACAAUUUGGGUCAGGAUGUGGGUUUGAAUCAGGAUACGGGUCAGGGCCUGGAUGCAGAUCAACCCGAUUGUACUCAAUUUUUUGUAUUUUAACUAUGGCAUGUCGGACGUGUUUUACUGUCAUUUUUUCUUUUUCCUUUUGAGAUACAAAUUAAAGAUGACAUCAAAAUUAAAUUAUAUUAUACGGAGUAAUAAAUUAGUCAAGCUGUUAUAAAUUAAUCAUAAUUAAACCAACAAUAACUAAACUAAUACAAAUCAGACCAAACAAAUAGAAAUACAAACAACCCACGUAAUGUUAUCAGACAUUAAUCUAGAUCUUGAUAUGGGCGUUCGGUUGCCGAGAUUAAAUUAGCCCGAUACUAUUUAAGAUUGAGUUGGUUUAAGACUAAUUUUGUCAUAGGGAUACAUCAAGACUAAUCCUAUGUGGCACUCUCCUAAGAUUGAAUCAUUGACCGUAUCCACCCAACCGAACAAAAUAUGAUAAGAUUAAUCUAAUCUAGUCAUAUCUAAUCCUUCAAACCGACAGUGACUUAUUAAUACUACUAAAUCCUUAUAUUUUCGAGAUACAAAUCGAGGUUUUAAUUUUUUAUUAAUUAAUUAAGCACAAAAACAUGCAUACUAAUUGUUGAUUAGAUCGCCUCAAAAAAAUUGUUGAUUAGAAAUAAAAUAGCAAAAAAAAUACGGAUUAUUUAUGCAAUUAUAUGAUUACGUUUGAAGACAUUGUCAAGCCAAGUUUUCACUAAAAAUAUUUAUGAUAAUAUGUAGAUAAUGAGAUUUUAUUUUACAAUAACGAGAUAUUUAUAAGAAAUAAUUUUAACUAAUUCAAACACUAACUGAAUUUGAAUUUAACCAUACCCAAAAAAUUCGUACUACUUCUUAAAAGAAUUCGUACAAAAUUUGGAUAUUUGUUUUUUGAUUUCUCUAGUUAUUUUAUAAAUAUAUAAUAUAAAAUAUAUAACAGAGGUAAAAUAGGCAAUUCACAAGUUAUGCCUUAGAUUGCUUUAGACUCUUUUUCUAUUAGUAUAGGAGUAUAAUAUAAAAUACUAUGAUAGGAGUAAAAUAAACAAUUCACAAGUUGUGCCUUAGGCUCUUUUUAUAUUAGUAUAGAUUUUACACUACAAACAAUAUGGUUACACUUUUACUAUACUAAUUUAACUCUCGUUAAUAAUCGUGCUCAAAAGAAAUGAGACAAAGCUAAUAGAACGGAGGGAGUAUAUAUUCAUCAUGAGAAAAAAAAUUCCUUUAAAUCUCUUAUUUUUUCACACAAGCUUAUUUCACCGUUUUUUCAUGAUAAAUUUAGGGCUAAACGAAAAACAAGGCAAUGAAGUAACACAUACCCUCUUGUUCCGCUUCUAUGAACUUUUUUUUUCUUUUUGAGAACCCUCUUCUAUGAUUUUGCUAAAGGCCUGGGCAUGUAUGCUGUCCUUUGUAUGUGACCUCAAAUCCCCUUCUUUUCAAACAAGUUUUACUCUGAAUGCAUCUAUAAUAGCCU
rnacentral:lncRNA from 1 species